UAUUAAGGUCAUCUGUUUAAACUCUGUGGAUGCCAACCACUUUUUGGUCACUGACUGUAAAACAGAUGGGUAUUUAUCAUUAACUUUCAAAUACCUGGAUCUUUGACAAAUUGCACUUUUUUGGUUCAAAUGAGUAGACUUCCAAUUGGACAAAUUGGAUUCAGAUGUUUCUUUUUCCUCCAUUUCUCCUGGUUUAUUAGGAAGAGAAUCAUUUACUUCAACACCAGGCUUCAAGUAAGAAUAUUUUCCUGGAGAAUCUGAUUGGGAUGCUUGUUUUUCCUCCAUUUCUCCUCCUUUCUUAGGAACAGAAUCUUUCUCCUCAGCAGUAGGCUUCAAGAAAGAAUAUUUUCCCAGAGAGUCUUCUACUUGUUCAUUUAAUGUACUUGUCCCUUUCUGAUCUGCAUUUCCAGAUAAAUGAUCAAUGUAUUUCUCUGGAAGACUCUCAGAAUUACUCUCAGAAUCCCAAGGUGAUUCUUCAUUUUGUUCUGCAAAUCCUAAUGCUGACAGCAUAACAUGUCUAUCAUUUUUAUCUGCCCUGUCAGCAGAAGUCAAACAGUCUUUAAAGGUUUG